GCUCUCUCUGGGAUGGGCUUAGACAUGGGGACAAGCUGUACAGCGACUCUACAGACCCCAGCUCCCAUGCUAGAGGCCCAGCCAGGGAUUUACAAGAGCCAUGCGGCUGGCAUGGCCUAUGACCAGCAUGGGGCCAGAUGGAUCCUCCAGGAUGCUCAGGUCCAGAAUGGCUCAGUGACUUCAAGUCACCCAGCAAAGGAAGAUGGGAGUACGGUGAACUCUCCACCUGUUCCCGUGUUCUUAGGAUCUCGAUGUGCAGGCACGGCGGUGUCAGCAGAGAUGGAGGCUGGGAAACUCUAAAAUUACCCAGGUAGGUAAUGCUGCCUCGGCCUUAAGAUAUCGGAACGCCCAUGAUCUAUCGGCAGCACCGGAACAGACGGAACUGACGAGGAAGCAACCACAGGGUGUUCUCAUCCUGGGUCCCUGCAGCAGAUUAGCAGGUGAAAAUACCUUGUCUUCGAAAUGGCCACUGGUUAGGAUGACAGGCAAAAACUAAAAGGCAGAAAUUCAAGCUUAAGUAGAUUAACAAAAGGAAGGCUUCUCCAGGAUUUUUCUAAUGCUUGCUCAUCCCGCGAUUUAAAUAUUUAUUCUCCGCACACAGCCAAUGUGUCCACAGAGUCAGCUGAACGCUGGACCCUGGGGCUCUCCUCCGAGGGACAAUGCUGAGAUUUUUGUGUGUAUAAUAUUAUUAGAGAAAGGAUAAAUAUUUAAAAAGAAACCAGUAAUUUUUCCUUAUGGACUACCAUAAGUUCUCCAAACACUCUGAGGAAGACCGUGCCGCAUCCUUACAGGACAGCCGUCAAGCCUCCAGAGCCUGACAUGAGUUUUCCCCUGUAAUUUUGUUGUGUUCAAUUUUGACUCGAAUCUGCAAUCCAUCAGCAAAGGCUUUGCCAUAUUGCUUAUACGAAGAUUUUCAGUGAGUGACAUUUGUUGAAGUGGGAUUUAAUUUAAACUUGAUAGCAGCCCUGUGGCAACAUUGGAAGCUUCCCUCUCCAUCAGGGUCACCUGUAACAUUUUGGAAAGAGCUGCGGUACCCGAGUCACAUUCUGCCUCUGCCUACUAAGGGGCCGCUGAAAAGGGGUUUUGUUUUUUGUUUUUUGUGGAGAUUUUUCCUUAUCUCUAGACUGAGUGUGAUCUCUCCAUUUCAAAAAGAAGCUCAGAUUUGCUUCUGAUUCCCUUUCCAGCCUUGCCGUAUCCACACUUUUCGAUCUUGGCUGGGGGAAACACUGUCACUGGACUCGCUGUAUAAUCUCCAUCUACCUUGGUUGGCUGGUUGGUCACGCAUCUCAAAAUAGCAAGUACUAAAUAUGUAAAAAGCAUCAGAAGAAAAUAAUGAGACUCUGGGCCCCAUCUGUAGCUAACUGCCUUCCUCCACCCUUCUUAAACCAAAAGGACCCCUCCAGACGCAUCCUUGCUGAGUUAACACAGGUGGUUCUAGAACCACAGAACUGGACAUGGUUUCAAAUAAAAUUUUGUUCUUUUUCCUAUUUUCGAAGACAGUAGAGCUCAAAGACAGUAAACAUCACUCCUACCACUGCGGUAGGCAAAGCUGAAAGCGCUGCCCCACCUCUUACCGCAGCGCUGACUUGUCUAGUUUAUUCAACCUCAAUGUAAAAUGAAUGAAAGCAUCAGAUUUGAAAAUUAUGCCCUUGCCGGGUGUGGCAGCUCACAUCUUUAAUCCCAGACCUGGAGAAGCAGAGGCAGAGGUGGAGUUUCUGUGAGGCCAGCCUGGUCUAUAUAGUAAGUCCAAGACACCAGGGGCUAAUAUAGAGAGACCUUUUCCCCUAUCUCCAAAAAAAGAAAAAAAAUUAAGUUAAAUUGUUCUUAAGGAAACCUAAGUGUCCAAGUAGUUAUAGUAAAGGGGGGGGGACUUAAAAUGGUUUCAUUUCUACUCUAUUCCUUGCUAAACCUAGGCGGCUUCAAGGAGAGCUCUUUAACUAUCACUAUCGUUAACUUGCCUGGGGAUCAUUUUAUGAUGUCAACAUUGGAGUGUGACACCCACACAGUCAUUGCGGGUAGAGUGUUAGAUUGUCACCCUCCAAAGCCUUUUGGCAGUAUAAAUUAAACCUGAUCAAAAACAAAACAAA
rnacentral:lncRNA from 1 species